rnacentral:lncRNA from 1 species
UCAAUGUUACAACAAAGUUAUGUCAAAAUUAGGUAGGUAAGUAUAUCAACAAGCUCAUUAUGGGGAUUGUCCAGAAUUAGAUUUCCAGCAACAGUACAAGACUUUCUUAAUUGUGAAAAUAUUGUACAUCUCUCACUGAUAUUUACUUCUUUCGUUAUCUACUUCAGGAUAUGAGGCGGCAGUCAAAUGAAACUAGGGAAACAAUAGUAAUACUUACUGUACCACAACUAGAGGCUAUAGUGAGGUUGAGGUGUUGCUUUGCUUUUGGAUUGAGGCCCUUUUAUGGGGAAUGUAAGAAUAUCCUUUUUUUGAUUAUCUAUGUUGAUUUUAUUUUGAAUUUGAGACAAAUUUUAUAGUCGUAUCUUUACAUAAGUGCAUAAGAUAGAAGUUCCUUUUAAUGUAUUUGCCUUGAAAUUUUUGUGUUCAAGUAAUCCAAUACAUCGUUGUCUUUUGCUAACAAAUAGAGAACUUUUUAUUGCCUUAUAGUUGGGUAAGAUUGUUUUUUUGCCUUUGUUGAUACCUGGUUUUACAGCAUGACAUACCCUUAUUAGCAUUUUUUUAUUAGAUACUAAAUUUAGCAGCACACGCUAGGGUGACCAAUAUUAAAGAGGAAAGAGGAACAAAUAUUUUACCCAUCAAUUCAUCUAAUAGUUUGCAAUAUACAUCUGUUUCUACAGGUAGCAAUAACUUACCUUAAGUAUGCAACAUGGAACUUUGUUCCUCAACUGUAAAGGAAUAAGUAGCUUCUAAUGAUGGUGUUUUCGAUUGGAACAAUAUGAUGGCUGCUAUAUCAGUAAUUGACACAUAAUCUUGAUGAGAAUUAAUGUUUUUAUUGUAGAUUUUGCUAACAAGGAUUAGGUAUUUUUAGGAUUUUUGUUAUCGAUAUGAUUCUUCAUUUGUAUCAUCGACCAACAUGAUUGAUUUGUUCAUGUGCUCAUAUACUUCUGAUCCAAAGUACAAAACAACUGAAGGUGAUGUCUUAAUUAUUGUGAUUAUACAUAUUUUUAACUGUUUUUUUGUUUUUGCUGAUCACAACUUGAGACAAUUUUUUUUUGUAUUCUCAGGUGGACUAAUGCUUUUAAAGCCAAGUAAUGGUGUAGCAUUACCCCAGUAUGAUGUAGCAUCUCUUGAUAAUUGAUGGUCCCUAUCAAUAAUUUUAUAGAGAAAACCCGAUUAAAUUCAUCUAUUUGUUUUUUUGGUUUAAUUCCUCUGAAUGUGGUU